CCCUUAGAUGUCCGGGGCCGCACGCGCGCUACACUGAAGGAAUCAGCGUGGCUUUCUCCCUGACCCGAAAGGGUUGGGAAACCCGUUGAAUCUCCUUCGUGAUAGGGAUUGGGGCUUGAAAUUGUUCCCCAUGAACGAGGAAUUCCCAGUAAGCGCGAGUCAUAAGCUCGCGUUGAUUACGUCCCUGCCCUUUGUACACACCGCCCGUCGCACCUACCGAUUGAGUGGUCCGGUGAAGACCUCGGACUGUGGCUGCGGUUGCUUGAUUGCGACUGUGUGCUGUGGGAAGUUGUCUAAAUCUUAUCACUUAGAGGAAGGUGAAGUCGUAACA
rnacentral:rRNA from 1 species